UCAACUGAGGUUGUAUUUUAGGGCAUUUUAGUUGCAUAGAAGGGUCAAUCAGUUAGUUCGUAUAUUACCCCCACUCUCUGAAAUAGAAGGCGCGUGAUUUCAAUGGUGAUUCAAUACACGAUCAUUCUUCUCGCAUUCAACUCAUCUCACACCUUUCAACUCUCAAACCCUCAAAAACACCUUCUCAAUUUGAAACCCUAGCCCAAUCUCGCCGCAUUCCACAUUUUUGGAGACCCGAAAUUUACUAUUUUUGCGAAUAGCAUGAAUCUCUACACCUACCGACCACCAAUUCGCUUAAUGGCUAAAAGACGGGCAAUUUCAAACACCCCAGGGCUGAUGUUGGAGAAAUUUCGUAAAUGCUACAUUCUAAACGGCGUAAUUUGGAGAAUAUGUUCGUGUAAACGGCGUAAUUUGGAGAAUAUGUUCGUGUAAACGGCGUACUGCUUACUUAUGAAAAUAUGCUGGAGCAUAUGUCGUGUAAACGGCGUACUAUUGGAGAAUAUGUUGGAGAAUAUGUCUAUUGUUUGUUUCAUAUGUUUGAGAAUUUGCUAAAUUUUGCAAUUUUAUUGCGAAAGUCUGUUUACUUUAUGUUAAACUAUGCUUAUUAUGUGUUAGCAGUUGCUUUUGUUUUGCAAAAAUUUGUUUAAUUUAAUCGAUAAUUCACUUA